rnacentral:rRNA from 1 species
UACGUAGGGCGCAAGCGUUAUCCGGAAUUAUUGGGCGUAAAGAGCUCGUAGGCGGUUUGUCGCGUCUGCCGUGAAAGUCCGGGGCUCAACUCCGGAUCUGCGGUGGGUACGGGCAGACUAGAGUGAUGUAGGGGGAGACUGGAAUUCCUGGUGUAGCGGUGAAAUGCGCAGAUAUCAGGAGGAACACCGAUGGCGAAGGCAGGUCGCUGGGACGGUACUGACGCUGAGGCGCGAAAGCAUGGGGAGCGAACAGG